rnacentral:rRNA from 1 species
GAUGAACGCUAGCGGCGUGCCUAAUACAUGCAAGUCGAACGAAACUUCUUUAUCACCGAGUGCUUGCACUCACCGAUAAAGAGUUGAGUGGCGAACGGGUGAGUAACACGUGGGCAACCUGCCCAAAAGAGGGGGAUAACACUUGGAAACAGGUGCUAAUACCGCAUAACCAUAGUUACCGCAUGGUAACUAUGUAAAAGGUGGCUAUACUACCGCUUUUGGAUGGGCCCGCGGCGCAUUAGCUAGUUGGUAGGGUAAAGGCUUACCAAGGCAAUGAUGCGUAGCCGAAUUGAGAGGUUGAUCGGCCACAUUGGGACUGAGACACGGCCCAAACUCCUACGGGAGGCAGCAGUAGGGAAUCUUCCACAAUGGGCGAAAGCCUGAUGGAGCAACGCCGCGUGGGUGAAGAAGGUCUUCGGAUCGUAAAACCCUGUUGUUAGAGAAGAAAGUGCGUGAGAGUAACUGUUCACGUUUCGACGGUAUCUAACCAGAAAGCCACGGCUAACUACGUG